GUCCCCCUGCGGUGCAAACUGGGUGAACCGACAAGCGUUACAAGGGAGUCCGACAUCUCGUCCUGGAAGGGGAUCCUCCGUUGUUGAGGAAGCCGGAACGGGCGAUGAGGACACCCACCUUAUGAAGGUGGGUUCAUAAUCGUAUCCGCAGGGGGCGA
rnacentral:other from 1 species